AAAUUGAAGAGUUUGAUCAUGGCUCAGAUUGAACGCUGGCGGCAGGCCUAACACAUGCAAGUCGAACGGUAACAGGAAACAGCUUGCUGUUUCGCUGACGAGUGGCGGACGGGUGAGUAAUGUCUGGGAAACUGCCUGAUGGAGGGGGAUAACUACUGGAAACGGUAGCUAAUACCGCAUAACGUCGCAAGACCAAAGAGGGGGACCCUCGGGCCUCUUGCCAUCGGAUGUGCCCAGAUGGGAUUAGCUUGUUGGUGGGGUAACGGCUCACCAAGGCGACGAUCCCUAGCUGGUCUGAGAGGAUGACCAGCCACACUGGAACUGAGACACGGUCCAGACUCCUACGGGAGGCAGCAGUGGGGAAUAUUGCACAAUGGGCGCAAGCCUGAUGCAGCCAUGCCGCGUGUAUGAAGAAGGCCUUCGGGUUGUAAAGUACUUUCAGCGGGGAGGAAGGGAGUAAAGUUAAUACCUUUGCUCAUUGACGUUACCCGCAGAAGAAGCACCGGCUAACUCCGUGCCAGCAGCCGCGGUAAUACGGAGGGUGCAAGCGUUAAUCGGAAUUACUG
rnacentral:rRNA from 1 species